ACAACUCCAUCAUCUCUUCACACCACUUGUCCCAUCUAUUCUAUCGAUAGCAUUUCUAAAAUAUUUUCGUUACCUGUUAUAUGUUCUGCUUCAUUUUUCCACGAAAUCGCCUCAGUCUAGGUUCUUCAACCAUCGUCCUUCUAGAGCAGAUCGAUUGUGAUUCGACACUACUCUUAUCAGGUGCGAGUCCUCUCCCUUUUCUAAGGCGUCUUGUGCAAGUUUAUGGGUAUAAACAUUUCCUGAUAUAUGAAUAAACUGAAAAUCAAUUUCUUGAAAGCGAGAUUUUUUAUUUGAAUAUCUCUAAUAAUUGCCCCAAUAAUUGAUUUAUCUGGUUUUGUUGUUUGGCAUUUCUUGAUGACUGUUCGUGAAUCCCCCAUGAUUGUCACUGAGAGUAUACCCAUUGAGAUUCCUAGCUUAAUGGCCUGUAAUCCUGCAUAUGCUUCUGCUGCAAACGGGGAUGAAACGUUAUUAUGAAGGACAAUCUUCGUUGCUAGAAUCUCGCCCAUCAGACCCCAAACCACCAGACCCGUGGCCAAUUUGGAGUUUUUUUUUUGUCAAAAGCUGCAUCAAACUGAAUCGACACCCUCAUGUUCUCUUCUAGUUGUUUGUGGCUUCUAUCCAUAUUUAAGGUAAUCUUCUUUUCUCACAAACCAUCUAACUUUUCCAUAUACCUUUGUAUUAUUUAUGCUAAUUCCCUUCCUAUCGUGUUCUUUCUCUCAUGUACUAGUUGAUUCUUUGAACUCCAGAUUGACCAUAAAGCAUAGUAAAAAAAUAGGUACUGUUUACAAGUACCCCUCUUGAAAACCCAGGUAAGCCACUCCCAAAAACUUUGAAUCAUGUUAUUUAUGACCUAAGAAAGGUUUAAAUGUUGUCAUACCUCUAGGGCAUUUCUAAAAGACAUGAUGACUAUCUUCUUCCCAAUUACAACAGUGAGGACAUCUAGCAUUUGUGGCCACUCGUUUAUGUUUGAGAUUUACUAGGGUAAGAAUGUAGUUCCAGGAAAUUCGCCAUAUUGUGAUUGUAAUUUUUUAUGGUAGCUGUAGAUUCUAUAGUUUCUUGUAGAAAUAUUUUAUUUUGGCUUGUAUUAAGUAAUUAUUAGGACCUAAGUUAACAUCUUGUAAUAGUUUAUAAGCACUUCGGACUGAGUAUUCACCAAUGGUUCUCCUUUCCACACUUGGAUGUCGUUUUGACCUACUUCCGCUAGAAGAAUCUGUAAAAUUUUCUAAGCUAUAUCCGCUUGAAAGGUAUUGUUUAUUAGAUCCACCUUCGAAGUAUUAUUUGUGAUAUCAAUUAGAUCCGAAACUAACUUUAUUUCUUCAUUUUUGGUUCUAUUGUUCCAUUCAUCUAUAUCAAUUCUCGGGAUCCAUCGAUCAUUUCAAAUAGAAAUCUUAUUCCCUCUACCAACCCUUCAGCACAGCCCACUUUGCAGGAGACCCUUUGCUGCCCAAACACUCUUCCAGGUAAACGAAGGUAGAUUUCCUAACUGUGCAUUAAGAAAAUUCAAAUGUGCAUAAUAUUUAGCUUUUAGAACUCUAGUUAAUAAAGAAUUUAGGUAAUUAAUAAGACGUCAGCCUUGCUUGGCUAAUAACGCAAUAUUAAAUUGGCCAAGAUUUUGAAAACCUAAACCACCAUUCAUUUUUAAGAUGUAAAGAUUCCUCCAAGCACACCAUUGUAUUCCCCUCUUACAACGUCUUUUCUGCCACCAGAAAUUUGGAAUAAUACUCUCUAGAUCAAUACACAGCGAUUUGGGUAAUAGGAAACAAGCCAUUGUGUAAGUUGGUAUGGAUUAGAGAAUAGCCUUUAUGAACACUUCUUUCUCACCUUGAGAAAGGUGUCUAACACUCCAAUUAUCAAUGCGCUUCUUGAGCCGAUCUUUUAAAUUUUGAAAAGAUUCUCUUUUCCUUCUAUCGACCAUAUUAGGCAAACUUAGGUAGUGUUCUGGGUCACUUGAGCUGCGUACUCCCAGUAUAUUGACAACCAAACGUCUAUCUUCCUCUGAUGUAUUUCUGCUAAAAAAGACAAUUGAUUUAUCAAAAUUAACACACUGACCCGAACAAGUUCUAUACUUAUGUAGGAUUCCCUUGAGUAAACUAGCUCCUCUAUUUGUUGCCUCCCCGAAUAGAAUACAAUCAUCUACAAAUAACAUGUGAGAUACUUGUAGAUCGCUCCUGCUAACCUAACUCAUUUUAAUAGCCCUUCCCUUGUUGCAAGACUCAUUAGACAAGAUAAACCCUCUCCGCAUAUUAGAAAUAAAAACGAACUCCAAGAGUCACCUUGUCGAAGUCCUCUAGUUGGACGAAAAUUUUCUCCAGCAUGACCAUUAACGAAUACUGAAUAAGAGACAGUGGUUACACAUUUCAUAAGAGUUUCAAUCCAAUUUUGAGGAAACCCCAUUCGCACCAUUAUCUCAUUAACAAAACUCCACUUGACCCUAUCAUAUGCCUUACUCAUAUCUAGUUUUACCGCCAUAAACCUUUUUUUUUCCCAGUCUCUUUUGUUUUAGCGUAUGUAAUAUUUCAUAAGCCAAUAACACAUUAUCCGAUAUUAACCUGCCUAGCACAAAAGCUCUCUGUGCAACAUUGAUGCAUUUUUCAAUAACUUCUCUAAACCGAUUUGUUAUAGCCUUUGCCAGUACUUUAUAAAAUAUGUUGCAUAAACUAAUAGGUCGAAAUGUGUCAUAUUAGAAGGAUUGGCAAUUUUUGGGACAAACACAAUAUGCGUAGAAUUUAUCGGACUAACCUCCAUGCCUCCAUUCAGAAAUUGUAGACAAGAAGAGGUGAUAUCUUCUCUAAUAAUAUGCCAGCAUUUCUGAGAAAAUAAAUGUGGGAGUUCAUCUUCCUCUGGUGCUUUUUGGGCCCCAUCUCGAACAUUGCCUCUCGAAUCUCCUCCUUUGUGUGUUGCACCAUAAGUCUUUGGUUAUCCUCUUCAGAGACACAUCGAUCUAUACCCGAAAGAAAAUAUUCAUAAUUUCCCCUUUCCCCUGCCGAGAAUAAAUUUUGAAAAUAAGAUCUCGCAACACCCUCUAUUUCUUGUAAGACCUCCGUUUCCCUUCUAUCCUCAUUUUGCAAUUUAUGAAUAAAUUUUUUUCUCCGAUGCUGUGUUGCUUGGCUAUAAAAAAAUGUUGUAUUCUUAUCGCCAAAUUUCAACCAGUUUAGUUGAGCUCUUUGUCCCAAGUAGCAUUCGUCCUUUUCAACUUCAAAGUUUAAUUGGAUCUUGGCAUCAAUCAUCUCAGCCAAAUUAUUAUCAUCUCUUUCAGCUCCAAGCAACUCUGAUAAUUUUUCUGUUAAAAACUCCUUCCUCCUCUUUCUAUUUAUUUGUAUUUGUCCAGCCCAUCUUUCCAAACCCUUUUUAAAGUUAUCUAACUUUUGCAGCAAGUCCUUUGAUGACGUUUCCCAGAUGUAUUUAACUUUAUUGGCGAACGAGUCCUCCAAUAUCCCACCAAGCUUCAAACUUGAAUAUGUUGUCAUUCAAUCAUUUUUCUUCCUUUUUCGUAUUAAUUAGAAGAGGACAAUGAUCGGAGAAAGAAUGCACUAGAUGUUGAAUUGUUACCGUAGGGGACAUGGUCAUCCAUUCCGCGUUUCCACUCCUUUAUCCAGUCAUUCCUGUAUGUUUGUCUUUGGCAAAUUGCCUCUCUCCCAUGUGAACCAAUUACUAGAAUACCCCACAUCCAUCAGUUGACAUUCCUUCAACACUUUUCGAAAAAUUUUUAUUCUUCUUUCAUCUCUAAGAAUUCCUCCCUUUUUUUCAAAGCCAUACAUAAUUUCAUUAAAAUCUCCACAUACAAGCCAAGGAAUCCCCUCAUCGUUGUAUAGAUUUUUCAAAAUAACCCAUGAGUCAUCUCUAUCCUAUGCAUAAGGGGUUCCAUAAAAACCUAUGAAUCUCCAUUUGUUCAUUACUUUAUCAUGUUCAAUUAUCACAUUAAUAUGCCUUUUAGAACAAUUUCGAAGCGUGAUACUCACAUCAUUUCUCCAUGCCAAACACAACCCUCCUCUAGUACCAUCUGAUCCAACUUCAAUACCAUUCACAUAACCGCAACUUCGGCGAACUCUUUUCAUCUGACUUCUAUAAAGCUUUGUCUCUAGAAAGAAAUCCAUUUGGGGAUUAUAGAUCUUCAGUGAAUAUCGAAGUCUUCAAACUACCCAUGGGCCCCCCGAACCACAAACAUUCCAACUUAAAAUUUUCAUUGGGCUCGGUCGGCUUGCCUCUAGGCAGCUGUCGAUAAUAAAUGAUUAAUUUUCAACAUUCUUAUAUUCCUUAUCAUCAAAGUGUUGAUCUCUUCCCUAGCUGUUAAUUCUUCAAUAUCCCCUCUAGCUCUCUUUUUCCCCUCCUCUUCGAUUAAAAUACUAUCUUCUAAAUCAUGAUCCAUAGCAGUUUGAGUCUGAUUUACCAAUAAAUUCCCCCAUUGAUCUAAAGAUGACGAUCUCUCUUUCAAAUUAAAUCCCAAAACUGGAUCAAUAGUAGUCCCACACCUCAAUUUUUUUCUUACAUCCUACAUAUUGUUUCCUGUUACUCGACUAUCCUCACAAUUUCCACCCAGUUUCCCCUCAUCACUGUAACGCCUCAAUUUUCGGGAAUUUUGUGAAUGUUGGCAUAGGUUUAAUUAUGUUAAUAGGCCUCUAGAAGGCUCAAGCUUAAGAUAGAACCCGGCAAUUUUAGUUAAUUUUUUUUUGUUCCAUAAGAAAAAGGGGGUGAAAUUAUGAAAUAGAACUUAUAUGAAAAUGUUUGAAAAUGCUAUAGGCUAAAUUGAAGUGGCCAAAUAAAUAGGAGUGUAAAAUAGGAGGAUUUGCAUGACAAACCUCCCAUUUUACAUGAAGUGGCCAGCCAUCAUGUUGUAGACAAUAUGAGCACUUGAUAUCCAUAAUUCAUGGUACAAAUUGAUAAUGGGUUAGGUAAAUGUUUCAUGAUAAUGGAUUAGAUAAAUAUUCCAUGAUAAUGGGUUAGGUAAAUGUUCCAUGAUAAUGGUUUAGGUAAAUGUUCCAUGAUGGGUAUUUCAUGUCUUUUGUAUUAAAGAAUUAAAUGGAUGAAAUAUGAAAUUUUAUUAAAAAAAGGUGAAAGGAACAAAGUUUUGUUCAUAUUUAUUCAUCAUAGCCUAAAGUUAGAGAAGAGAAAGGAGAGGAGAAAGCUCUUGAAUGUUCGGUCACUUGGGGAAGAAAAUUAAAGGUAAGUUCAUGGUAGUUUGUUUCUAUUUUGAGGUUCAUGAGUUCUUCUUGAUUUUACCUUAACUCUUGAAGCAUAUUUUGGUUUUUAGUUGUGUUGUGAGCAUUUAGUCAUGAAUUAAAAUGAAGGAAAUGGUUGUUGUUUCAUGUUCUUUUGAUGAAAAAUAGAAGAUAGGUGAAGUUGAGCCAAACAAAUGAGCAUGCAUGUGCCUUAGAUAUUAAAGGGAAAAAUCGGCUAACAUGUGCUUUAAAAUGAUGAAAUGGAGAUUAUACUUAAGUAAAAUCAUAGAUGUGUGAUGAUUGAUUGGUGAUAUACAUGUUUAAAUAAUAUGCAAGCAAGUUAUGUGGGAAAGAGUGAUUUGGUAAUAAAUCUGCUUGGGACAGCAGCAGUAACAUGACUUUGGAAAAUCACCAUAAAUUGUGGGAGAUGAGUUAGAAGCUGCAUAAAUUAUGUAAUUAAAGCUUAAUGAGUCUAGUUUCAAAUGGAAUAAACGAGAACAUAUUUUGAAUUUUUUACAAUGAGAAAUUUGAUUCAUAAUGAAGAGUGGUCAGAUUAGUCAAAUAGUGAAACAUGGGAAACUUUGAGAAAAAUUUGGUAUUGAUUGACUAAGCCAAAAAUUUUGAAAAUUUUAUGGAUAGAAUAUAUAUGAGUCUAUUUUCAGGGAAAACUAACGGAACUUAAUUUGGAGUUUUGUAGCUCCAUUUAUAAAUGAUUUAGUGACUAUUGCUCAGGAAGACAGCUUGCAGUGAAAUUUUGAUUAUGUGGUAAACAUUGACAAAAAAAUUGUUAAUGAGUUGCUUAUUGAUUUCUUAUAAGCUUACUAUGAUCUGUAGGUGUGGUUGGCCGAAUAUUGUAAGGGGUUAAUAUGUAGUUCAUAUUUGAAUAGUUAGAUUAACGUGUUAGUAAUCCAAUUGUAGGCAGUUCGUGUGUGGAUCUCGUCAGCAUAUCGUCGCAAACAGGUGUGUAAUUAACACUCUCUUUCUUAGUCUGAAUCGGCAAAAGUCGAAAAGCCGAAAUACCGAAAAUCAGUAUUUUGUAGAUUUACGAGUGUGCGAAUGCUCGUGAGGUAAAUCGAUUAAUGUUUUUUGUAAGCUGCAAAAUUUGGACUGUAAAGUGCAUGAUUUUUGUGCCCUCGAUAUUUUUGGGCUUAAUGGCCAAAAUUAAAAUGAUGGGCCAACGGGCCCAAUUCGGUAAGAACCUUCGGUACAUGAUUCUGUUAGUACUUGAAAAGUAAGAAUAUGCAUGAAAAACCUUAAAAUAGAUAAAUUACUGAAAUACCUUUAAAAGUGGAAAAUUUACAGUUUUACCUCUAGUAGAUAAAUUACUGAAAUACCCUUAGGGUUAAAUUGACCUAAAUGCAUAUUUGACUGUUGUUUUUUUACUGCAUGCCAUGUUAUUAUCUGAUGCAUGGGAUUGGGAUAUUGACGGAGGAAGUACUGAAAGUGGGUUGAGCAGCAAGGCUGCAACUGUAGAGUGUUGGGCUGGGUGGGUUGAGUUAUUCCCCAUAUGGAGUGUAGGGCUGGUACGGGUGGAGUGUAGUGGUUGGUGGGUUGAGUAGUCUCCCCAAAUAGGCUUGCAUACAUUAUUAAUGUUGCAUGUAUUUUGAAAUAAGCCUAUGGGCCAUACUGUUAUCUGAAUAAGGGGUUAAGGCCCAGUUUAUUGUAAUCUGAAAAAGGCUCUGGUCUAGUACCACUGUUACCUGAAUGGGCUUAGGCCCAAUAGGCUUGAGCUGACUUGGGCUUUGAAUGGGUUUUUCUUACACACUGAAUUUCUCCAAACUCACCCCUUUUAUUUUCAUCCACGCAAGAAAUCUUCAACCAUAGUGGGCUUGGAGCUGUGAGGGAAUUCAGAGUGGCCACCCGUUCUGAAAGUUUAGUUUUCUUCUGGUGAAUUGGACAUCUUAUUAUUUAUGUUGAGGUUUGGGUUUUUAAAUAUAAUAAGGCCGUUUAAUUAUUUUUGAUGGUUUUAAUAUGUAUUACUAAGAUAGGUAUUACUUAUUUUAACUGUUGAAAUUGGAUAGCUUUAGGGCGCGUUUUCAAAAAAAAAAUAAUUGAUUUCAAAAUAACACGACAACAAGCAAAGCUUCCGCAAUGAAAGUAUUUUUCAAAAUUAAUCACUUUUCCUAAAAAUGACUUAAUCAAAUCGGUUUCCAAGAAAUAUACAUGACGUUAAGGUGUGGCAAUGGCGGUAUGCAUGUCUAGGAUUGGAUCCGAAGGGAGAUUGGUACUUAAGUAGUCCGAUAGACUCACUUCUUUUUUUCCGGUUUCCUACCUGGUGCACAGCUUCCAUUCACUUUAACCUAUAAUGAAAUUAUCUUUUAAAACACUAAGUAGGUUUUUCUGGAUCAACAAAAUAAAAUGUUUUGAACGUUUCGAUGUGGCAUAUCGGAUCCGGCCAUAACGUUUGGGCCAGGUUUGGGGUGUUACAAUCACCAUCAUGUAACCAGAUAUUGUUCAUUGCUAAAGCUCUUCGGG
rnacentral:lncRNA from 1 species